rnacentral:sRNA from 1 species
UGCAGACGCCUCUGGCGUUUCCUCCCUUUGACCUCGGCCGCGCUUACUGAGCGCGGCCUUUUUUUUGCGCUCA